UAGCGACCUCAUUAUCUUGUAUUUCGUGCCGAAAAAGAGAACAAUUUCAUAUUUAAAAACAACUGACACAAAAAUUUAAAAAUCGCUUUAUCAGACGAGAGUGUAUUAUAUCGGUGUGCCCAAUACAUUUAAAUAGUCGAAUGUUUAUUCGCAUUUAAAAUAUAUAUAUUUGCAAUUAAAAUGAAUUUGACAAAUACAGUUGAAGUAUGAAUGUGCUUCUUUUCCGGUAACAACUCUCUUACAAGCCAUCAGUCACUACGGCACACCAUGAGACACUAUUUAGCUAUCGCACCAACUGAAGGAAUAAAAAAAUUGUAUUUAAAGUAAGUAAACAGUCGUCAAUCAGAGAGGAUGAUUAAAUAAGGCUCUCCCUGUGUCAUGUCUCCAUCCAUGUUUCUUUUUUUUGCCCUCAACCAUAUUUUUUAUUAAAAUGCUUACUACGGAAUAUAAAUUAUAACCGUUCGGUGUUUAUCGUCGCUCAUUCUUAUCUAUGAGAAUACAUUUUUUGUAUUUAAAGUACAACACUCCCAGUGUAUCCGCGAGUCGUACGCAGUAUUUGUGGCGACAUGUCUCGUAAGCUCUUGAUGUCGUUCUUGCUGCUAGUUGCACUUCACAGUAUAUUUGUUGUCGGCAAAGAGAAAAUCAAAGAUGAAACUGUCGAGGAUCUGGACGGAGGAGAUGAAAACAAAGUGUAUCAUAAAAUUGAGGUUCCAAAGGAAUUAAUAAACGACUUCUUAGUUUCACUGCAAAACUUCGAAGAGUAAAUGUUAUUUUUCCGCUCUUCGCUUGUAUAAUAAAUACUUAAAUGGUU